rnacentral:rRNA from 1 species
UGGGGAAUAUUGCACAAUGGGGGAAACCCUGAUGCAGCGACGCCGCGUGAGCGAAGAAGGCUUUCGAGUCGUAAAGCUCUGUCCUAUGAGAAGAUAAUGACGGUAUCAUAGGAGGAAGCCCUGGCUAAAUACGUGCCAGCAGCCGCGGUAAUACGUAUGGGGCGAGCGUUGUCCGGAAUUGUUGGGCGUAAAGGGUACGUAGGCGGUUUUUUAAGUCAGGUGUCGAAGCGUGGAGCUUAACUCCAUUAAGCACUUGAAACUGAAAGACUUGAGUGAAGGAGAGGAAAGUGGAAUUCCUAGUGUAGCGGUGAAAUGCGUAGAUAUUAGGAGGAAUACCGGUGGCGAAGGCGACUUUCUGGACUGCAACUGACACUGAGGCACGAAAGCGUGGGUAGCAAACAGG